CGGGUUUGUAAAAUUUUAUGAGGAGCUCUAUACUAGUUGUAUUGCUAUGAAAACGGGGCUUUAUAUAUUUUCACAACACAAGUUUAUGAGAAAGUUUGGGGUUUGUUUGUGAGUAUGUUGGUAGCUAGCUAUAGAUCAUGGUGGGUGUCAGAGUGGUCUCUCCUGUCCUUUAGGGAUCCCUCACAGUGAAGUAUGAGGAUCAGAGUACAGCUGGACUGUGGAAGUCUGUUUCUCCUACCCAGUCAACAGAGAACAUCUCCACAAGUUCAAACACAUCUAUGGAAACGUUUUUCACCUACUUCUGUAAUCUGGAUGAAGACGCACACCACCCUCUGAAGCUGCUACCAGAGUAUGUCUAUAUAGUCUACUACAAGUUUGAAUGCAUGACCAAAGGGUCUGACAUCUAAGCGUCCUGAUGGCAAGGCAGACGAAUGCAAAUCUCUUUGAAACCGAAGAAUCUAUUUGAGAAAUAAGUGGUCGCCAACUGAAUGUGCUUCAAGCUAAUUUGAAUAUUUUAAUAGACCUUUCAUUGUUGAUACCCAAAUCUUUUUCCUCAAACAUUCUGUUUCCUAUCACUCCUUGGCUUGAUGAAAUCUAUCUGAUCUUUUUUUUUAAUCAAUGUUGAAGGGAGACAAUCGCAUUCAAUAAAAUCAAAAAAAAAAAAA